AUUGAACGCUGGCGGCAGGCCUAACAAAUGCAAGUCGAACGAGUGGCGGACGGGUGAGUAAUUUCUGGGAAACUGACUGAUGGAGGGGGAUAACUAAUGGAAACGGUAGCUAAUACCGCAUACAAUCGGAUGUGCCCAGAUGGGAUUAGCUAGUGGGUGGGGUAAAGGCUCACAUAGGCGACGAGCCCUAGCUGGUCUGAGAUGAUGAACUGUCACACUGGAACUGUGACACGGUCCAGACUCCUACGGGAGGCAGCAGUGGGGAAUAGUGCACAAUGGGCGCAAGCCUGAUGCAGCCAUGCAGCGUGUAUGAAGAAGGCCUUCGGGUUGUAAAGUUCUUUCAGCGGGGAGGCGUUACCCGCAGAAGAAGCACCGGCUAACUCCGUGCCAGCAGCCGCGGUAAUUC
rnacentral:rRNA from 1 species